GAUGAACCCGCGGCCUAUCAGCUUGUUGGUGGGGUAGUGGCCUACCAAGGCGACGACGGGUAGCCGGCCUGAGAGGGUGACCGGCCACACUGAGACUGAGACACGGCCCAGACUCCUACGGGAGGCAGCAGUGGGGAAUAUUGCACAAUGGGCGCAAGCCUGAUGCAGCGACGCCGCGUGAGGGAUGACGGCCUUCGGGUUGUAAACCUCUUUCGCCAGGGACGAAGCGCAAGUGACGGUACCUGGAUAAGAAGCACCGGCUAACUACGUGCCAGCAGCCGCGGUAAUACGUAGGGUGCGAGCGUUGUCCGGAUUUAUUGGGCGUAAAGAGCUCGUAGGCGGUUUGUCGCGUCGGCCGUGAAAUCUCCACGCUUAACGUGGAGCGUGCGGUCGAUACGGGCAGACUUGAGUUCGGUAGGGGAGACUGGAAUUCCUGGUGUAGCGGUGAAAUGCGCAGAUAUCAGGAGGAACACCGGUGGCGAAGGCGGGUCUCUGGGCCGAUACUGACGCUGAGGAGCGAAAGCGUGGGGAGCGAACAGGAUUAGAUACCCUGGUAGUCCACGCUGUAAACGUUGGGCGCUAGGUGU
rnacentral:rRNA from 1 species